AGUCCAGUGACAUAACCAUUACCCUCUACACAUGGAGGACCCUCUACAUGUUUUAAUUGGUAGAGUUAACGUCUUUCUUUCCAUUUUACAUUAAUGCAAUUUUUUUGCAUUAUCUUCGUUUUUGUAUUUUUUAAAGUUUAUGUUUGAUCACUGUACAUCUCAUCCUGUUAUUUCCUGUGGAGCACUUAGCACAGUCUGAGAUCUUCUUGUUUAUUUGCUGGUUACAGUCAGUUCCUGGACUGGAGGCCUUUCCUGUGCCUUUUCAGAGCCUCCAGGGCACAAGAACUCUCCACUGUUUCUUUGAGAACAGAGAAGAAAUGUAAAACCACCUGCAUUCCUAGAAGCCCGUCAUGUGGAUAAGCCCAAAUAAAAACCAUCGAUGAGUGUUCAGCAAAUAAAAGAAGAAAAACUUUUCGAAAGUAAAAAGUUGAAAUAUUCAAUAGUGAAAAAAACGAAAGAAGAGAAAUUCAAUAUAUUCAAAGGAAAUUCAGAUCUUGAGGGUAAAACGGGAAGUUAUCUUCCUGAAAAUUCCAGGAAAUAUAAACUUAUUCAAGAUGGAAAAGAAUAAGGCUGAACAGGCAUUUCAGAAGCCGUAGACGAAGUAAAAGCAAACCAGAUUAAUUACUUGUAAGGAAAACCCAUAGAAACUGACAAAGAAGUAGAGACUAUGGGCAGACAAAUAAUAAAAUGGGUGAGAAAUGUAAGAUUCGGAGUUUGGCAUAAACUCGUGAAAAGACAAAGAUUACACAGAAAAUAAAAUAGGGGAGAGAAAAAGUAAUUAUAGCUAAUGAAUUUAUGAGAUAAUAGAAAAUGAAGUAGAAUGUGACAAAACAAUAAAUCAGAAUGCCUCUCCUGAAUAAAUACUAUUGCAUGAAUACUUCUAAGUUGUUCUGUGAGAUGCUGGCCACGGCUUGGGGAAGGCAACAAUCCACACGAAGACAGGAAAGCCCACCUGUGACUUCAGCACAUCAGACUUUGGGGGGCCUAGCUUUGAUGCCGAACAUCUAAAUAAACACUUUAAAUUUC